CACACCGCCCGCCACACCAUGGGAGUUUGUUGCACCAGAAGCAGGUAGCUUAACCGCAAGGGGGGCGCUUGCCACGGUGUGGCCGAUGACUGGGGUG
rnacentral:rRNA from 1 species